rnacentral:lncRNA from 1 species
UCACGUCCUACUAGCACAACAAGCCUCAUCGCCGACUGACCCGUCUUCUCAAAUUCGAAGCAACUCGACGACUAAGCAGGCAAAGGUUCCAUGGUAUUAUAUAUCUUCCUCUCUUUAAUCUGUGCAUUAUUUUAGCUUCCUUAUCAGCCAACAUAUUCUCAUAGAACCUUUGUCCUCAGGUGAUCUACAUUAGUCAAAUUGCUAGGUCAUAGUCUCAGAAAACAAACAAGAGGUAUGGUCACAUACACUCAUCCCUCUGCUUAUAUCACAUAAUCAUCAUUCAACCAUAAUUUUACAAGACAGACAUUCAUAAAUGACCCAUGAUGCACUUCCUCAAUAGCUACUUUUUCAUGAUGUCGGGAAGAUCAAACACACGAGACGGCCGACAAAUUGAAGGUAUGGCAACAACUUCAGCAACUUGCAUCCAAUAUACGCCGGCGACACCCAAACGAACAAAGGCACAAAGAAACGUCCAACGAACUGAAGACACAACAUCAGCACCAUCAGCCUCAGGUAAUAUCCCCAUGCAAUUCUUCAUGUGUGUGCCUGCAUUUUGAUCUCAGCUCAACAUUGCGUCAAAACUCUUCUCAUACUGAACUAUAAAGCUCUUUUUUUUCAUGCAUCCUAACACUACCAUGAUAAUAAUGUGAAAGCUACAAAAAGAGCAACACGGUUGAACAAUUAUUGAUUUAUAGUUCCCUACCAGAUAAACAACAUUAAUCUCCAGAUGUACUGUAUGUGACAAUGUCCAUUAGUAGUCUCUUAUAUCACCAAAUGCACUUGCAUGCUGCAAAGGCAAAACACUAUUAAGUACUCUCUCUGUAGAGACAUAUAAGAGUGUUUAGAUCACUACUUUAGUAAUCUAAACGCUCUUAUAUUUCUUUACGGAGGGAGUACAACCUAAAUCAUAUUACAUGAUACUAUGUUAAGAAGACUAUACGCACUGACGAAAUCACAUUUGCAGAUAUGAGAGUCCAACAUACGUUAGACCCAGCAGCUCACCAGACAAAAAGAAAGAAAGAACAACCUCUAAACUCAAGGAGUACAAAGCGGACAAGGACUGCAGAGGGAAGAAGAAAUGCAAACACAGAGGCUCCUAAACGAUUGAGAAAGGCUAAUGCUGAAGAAGAUAGGGAAUUGAAGCGUGCCAGAAGCGAAACCAACAAAAACAACACUAGAGACAAUGUUGGAGACAACAACAGAACCAGAACCUCGACAAGUGCUAAUAGAAAGCCAUGGAACUUCGGAAGGCCAACAUACAAAUGCCAAUAUUGCAAAGCAUUGCUAUGGUGUGAAGAAAGAUUAAAUUCAAACAAAGGAACUACGACACCCUCUUUUGGAAUAUGCUGCAAACAAGGGAAAAUCGAUCUGCCGCCACUAAGAGGACCUCCACCAUACCUUAGAAACCUCUUAAGAAGUGAAGGGCAGGAUUCGGUAAACUUCAAAGAAAAUAUAAGGUCAUACAACUCAAUGUUUUCAUUCACAUCGAUAGGAGGAGCUGUGGACAAGGAAAUAAACACUCGCAAAGGACCUUAUGUUUUUCGUUUGCAUGGACAAAACUACCACCAUAUCGGAACUCUUUUGCCUCAAGGUAUAGACAAACCUCGGUUUGCACAGCUAUACAUAUAUAAUACCGAAAAUGAGGUGGAAAACAAGAUAAGUGCAUCAAGACGCAAUGAUAAUAAAUCAACAGUGGACCCCAACAUCGUCAAAGAACUGAAAAUAAUGCUCGACGACAACAACAUCCUCGCAAAAACAUUCAGAAUGGCAAGAGAUAGAUUCCAAGAAGGAGACUACCAUGAUUACACACUUCGGAUACUAGGCAAAAGGAACGGAACACACAACCUUCCAUCCGCAUCUGAAGUUGCAGCAUUGGUAGUAAGAGAUCCAACCGGAGAGAGUGAAGGACGUGACAUUGUUGUUGAGUACAAAAAUAUGGAGCCACAAAGGAUAUCAGAGAUCCACCCGAAAUUCAUGUCCAUGCAAUAUCCGUUGUUGUUCCCAUAUGGAGAAGACGGUUUUAAACUUGAGAUACCCUACAAGAAAACAAAAGGAGGUACAAACAGCAGGAAAUACGUAAUGUUGUUGGACUACUAUGCAUUCUACCUACAACAACGUCCUGAUCAAGGAAUGUUACUGCUCAAGUCCGGGCAUUUGUCACUGCAAUUUUGGGUGGAUGUAUACACAUGUAUCGAGCAAAAUAGACUAAACUGGAUCCGACACAAUCAAGGAAAGCUACGAACUGAACUUUACAGUGGAUUGCAGGAUGCGAUUGAGCGAGGGGACACAAGAAUAGAGCAAGUUGGAAAGAGGAUAAUUGUGCCUUCAUCUUUUACAGGUGGUAGAAGAAACAAGGCACAAUAUUUGCAAGAUGCCUUUGCAAUAUGCCGUUGGGCUGGAUACCCAGACCUAUUUAUAACAUUCACAUGCAACGCAAAGUGGCCUGAGAUCCAAUACAUGCUAGAUGAAGCGGGAGGUGGCCAAAAGCCAGCCGAUCGGCCAGAUAUUGUGGACAGAGUAUUUAUGAUCAAACUAAAGGAGCUAAUGAGAGACAUAAAAGAAAAGAAAUACUUUGGAGAAACAGUUGCAAGUAAGUCCCAUUGACUAUCAAUCUUUACUCUUUCUUGCAUCAUCUUAUAGUCCGUCAGACUCUUGCUCUUUAGAAACAUGCAUCAUCUUAUACUCCGUCAGAUUCUAGCUCUUUAGUAACAUGCAUUCCAAUUUUAGCUAAAUCUGACAAACCAUUAAUCAACUGCAGUCAUCUACACAAUAGAAUUCCAGAAGAGAGGACUCCCGCAUGCCCACAUACUAAUAUUUUUUAAGGACAAAGACAAGUACCCGGAACCAUCGCAAAUCGACAAAAUAAUAAGCGCUGAGAUCCCAAACAAGGAUGAGGAUCCAGAGGCAUUUGAAGCUGUUGAGAACUUCAUGAUGCAUGGCCCGUGUGGAGAGGCUAAGAAAAAUUCACCAUGCAUGGUGGACCAUAGAUGCACCAAGCAUUUCCCAAAAAGAUACAAUGUCAGCACUACCAUUGACGAGGACGGAUUUCCAGUAUAUAAAAGGAGGGAUGACGGAAGGCAGAUCAAAAAGGGAGGGGUGAUGCUCGACAACAGAUUUGUCGUGCCAUACAACCGGGACCUUCUGGUCAAGUAUCAAGCUCACAUAAAUGUCGAGUGGUGCAAUAGGUCCAGAUCAAUCAAGUACCUAUUUAAGUAUAUCCAUAAAGAUGACGACCAUGUUACAGCCUUGCUCAAGGAAAGGGGCACGGCAAACGAAACUGACGAGAUCAAGAAAUACCUAGAGAUGAGAUACAUAUCAACAUCAGAAGCAUGCUGGAGGAUAUUUCAGUUUGAUCUUCAGUAUCGCAAUCCAGCAGUUGAGAGGCUACCUUUCCAUCUUGAAAAUGAGCAACAAGUCAUUUUUCCAGACUCCACUGAUCUUGAAAAGAUAGUAACAAGGGACGGAUCUAAAAUGACCAAGUUCACUCAGUGGAUGGAGGCAAAUAAAAUAUACGAGCUAGGAAAAAGAUUGACUUACGCAGACUUCCCUACAAAGUUUGUAUGGAAAAGCGAAACAAAAUGUUGGCAGAAGCGAAAAAGGGACUAUGCAAUUGGAAGAAUCUACUAUGCACAUCCCGCAAGUGGCGAGAGAUAUCAUAUGAGGAUGCUUCUAAACACCAAGAAAGGAUGCACAUCAUUUGAGGACAUUAGGACCGUUGAUGGAGUCAUUCACCCAACAUACAAAUCAGCAUGCCAAGCCCUCGGAUUUCUCGAUGAUGACACCGAGUGGAUUGACUGUAUCAAUGAAGCAUCAAGUUGGGCAUCCGGAACACGACUGCGUCAGUUAUUCACCACCAUAUUGUCCCAUUGCGAAGUCACAAACCCAAAGGUAUUGUGGGAUUCAACAUGGGAGGCGUUGUGUGAAGAUAUGCAAUACAAAAGAAGGACUAUUCUAAACUUUCCAACACUUCGGCUUACAAACACACAGAAGAAAGCAUAUGGUCUGAUUGAGAUAGAAAAACUGAUGAGGCAAGUAGGAAAGUCACUAAAGGACUAUCCAGACAUAGAACUACCAAAUGCCGCAGAGCUAGAAGAACUUGGGAACAGACUAAUAAACGAAGAGGUCAACUACGACAUGGACAAACUCAAGGAUGAGCACAAAAUCAUACUAAACAAUCUUAACCAAGACCAGAAAACGGCCUAUGAUGCAAUAAUGGAGUCAGUCGACAAAGGCCUAGGAAAGCAGAUAUUUGUCGAAGGGUACGGUGGCACAGGAAAAACCUAUCUAUGGAAAGCAAUAACGACAAAGCUAAGAUCAGAGGGGAAGAUAGUGCUUGCGGUAGCAUCAUGUGGCAUUGCAGCGUUGCUUCUCCAAGGUGGAAGAACGGCACACUCAAGGUUCCGUUUUCCACUUAAUAUCACUGAAGAAUCAACGUGUGAAAUAAAACAAGGCUCGCAUUUGGCUGAACUGCUAAAGAAGACCUCACUUAUAUUGUGGGACGAGGCUCCUAUGGCAAACAAACACUGCUUCGAGGCACUAGACAAAAGCCUUAGAGAUAUUCUAAGGUUCACUAAUGAAAACAGCGAUGAAAAGCCAUUUGGUGGGAUGACAGUUAUACUAGGAGGCGACUUCAGACAAAUCCUGCCAGUUAUAACCAAAGGAAGGAGAGAGCAGAUAGUAAAUGCUUCAAUCAAAAGGUCAUAUCUGUGGAAACACUUUGAAAUAUUUGAGUUAACACAAAACAUGCGGCUGAAGUGUCUGUCAGAUGAUCCAAUACAAAAGCAAAAGGUUGCUGAAUUUGCAGAGUGGAUACUACAGAUUGGCGAUGGGAAAACAACAUCAGAUGAAGGAGAGGAUUGGAUAAAAAUACCAAAAGACCUACUGCUAGAGAAAGGAGAAAAUCGUAAACAAAUCGUCAAAAGCAUAUACCCAAAUUUGCUGCAAAAAUACCGUGAGCGGGAUUACCUAGAAGAAAGAGCAAUACUAUGUCCAAGAAAUGAUACAGUCAAGGAGAUAAAUGACCACAUAAUGAGCCAAAUACAAGGUGAAGAGGUGACAUACCUAAGCCUGGACACAGUGUGCAAGGCAACGACAAAUACCAACAUCAUGAUGAACAUGCAGCCUACUGAGUUCCUCAACACCUUAACGUCCCCAGGAAUACCAGACCAUAAGUUAAAACUGAAGGUGGGUUUGCCGGUCAUGCUCCUACGCAACAUCAACCAAGCAGCAGGCUUAUGCAACGGUACAAGAAUGACAAUUACACAACUUGGAAACAAAUACAUCGAGACACAAAUAAUCACAGGAACACAUGUCGGCGAUAAGGUAUACAUACCUCGAAUCAUCAUGUCACCAAGCGACUCAAAAUGGCCAUUCGUGCUGAAAAGAAGGCAAUAUCCAUUAUCAGUGUGCUUCGCAAUGACAAUAAACAAGAGCCAAGGUCAGUCCUUAAACAAGGUAGGCAUAUAUUUGCCUAAGCAAGUGUUCUGCCAUGGACAACUAUAUGUGGCACUAUCAAGAGUGACAAACAAGGAAGGAUUGAAGGUGCUGAUUGAUGACGAAGAGUGUCCAACCGAAGAUGUCGCAAAGAAUAUUGUUUACAAAGAGAUUUUUUAAUUGAUAGUGCAGUUCCUCAAGUCAUUAGACAAUUCAUGUAUAAUUACAUAGUCACAGACAACCUUACCAUACAUUUUGAACAACACAUUUACUUGGUUGGCAUAUUGAAUUUUUAAAUAGUUAUUAAUCCAUAGAUAUAUAUGUUUGAUCUUUCUUUAAAAUAUUAAAUUUAAAAUUAGUUAUUUAUCCUUGAAUAUUUUUAACACAAAAAAUAUCGCAGCAGAUGAAACAAUGAAAUCACUAAUGGAUUCCACCUACAAUAAGCUUUUCGUAAUCUCCCACAUUAUAGCCACGACCCACAACUAAAAUAUAUUCACGGUUAAUCUCAAAAUCCAAAUCUUUUAAAAACGUUCUAUAGAAAGUUCACCGAUUAAUUCCCCUAAAUAGCCAUUACUAAUCUCUCACAAUCUAACACUCACAUCUCUCUCACGAAUAGUUUCCGAUUCCCCAAAUCUCCUCAAUUUGUGUCUCUAAAAACAUAGGCAUUAGCCUCCUCAAGCGAAUAAAUGUAUGCGUACAUAUGGAUCUUUAAUCUUUCAAUAAAAUAUAUAAAUUUUUGUUCAUCGGUUCUGUAUCCGUGAACUAACUCUAUCAUGUUUGUACACAUAAGUUCUUUCUACAUUAAUAUUUCUAUAAACUUAGAAGUAAUUUCUGAGAGCAAAAAAUACAGAUCGUACCUUUUUCAUUUGGCAAUGGAUGUCAACUCUACUGAAUAUACCAUCAUCUCUCUCAUACCACAUCCAGAAGAUCACGAUACCAACUCUAAUCCCUCUAAUGAAUAGUCCCCAAUUCUCAAUCUCUUUUCUAUCAGAUCCAAGAAAACGUUCCUGCAGCAAGGAGAUUUAAAUAUCUUCUUUACUAAAUCUUGAGCGUGGUUGUGGCAUGGAGAUUUUACCCAACAAUUACUAAUCUGGGAUGACAUUUACCUCAUGUGAGAUGCACGAAAAUUAGGGAUUUUACCUGUGAAGGGCUGAAGGCUCCCUCAAAUCCAUUCAGAAAAAGAGAUCGGGAGAGACGCUGCGGCAUACAUCUUCCAUCCGCUGAAGCUAUGGUUGGCGGCGGUACGCAGCCGAGCCAGCGACGAGCGCAUGCGCUGGUGCUGCCACUGAAAAGCAGGGGAGAAGAGCUGCGCUAGAGGCCUUCUUGGUUCGACCAUUUACAAAAUUAAGGCUGUGCUAAAAAAUGAACAAAAGGAG